UGAACGCUAGCUACAGGCUUAACACAUGCAAGUCGAGGGGCAUCAGGAAGAAAGCUUGCUUUCUUUGCUGGCGACCGGCGCACGGGUGAGUAACACGUAUCCAACCUGCCCUUUACUCGGGGAUAGCCUUUCGAAAGAAAGAUUAAUACCCGAUGGCAUAAUGAUUCCGCAUGGUUUCAUUAUUAAAGGAUUCCGGUAAAGGAUGGGGAUGCGUUCCAUUAGGUUGUUGGUGAGGUAACGGCUCACCAAGCCUUCGAUGGAUAGGGGUUCUGAGAGGAAGGUCCCCCACAUUGGAACUGAGACACGGUCCAAACUCCUACGGGAGGCAGCAGUGAGAAAUAUUGGUCAAUGGGCGCUAGCCUGAACCAGCCAAGUAGCGUGAAGGAUGAAGGCUCUAUGGGUCGUAAACUUCUUUUAUAUAAGAAUAAAGUGCAGUAUGUAUACUGUUUUGUAUGUAUUAUAUGAAUAAGGAUCGGCUAACUCCGUGCCAGCAGCCGCGGUAAUACGGAGGAUCCGAGCGUUAUCCGGAUUUAUUGGGUUUAAAGGGAGCGUAGGUGGACUGGUAAGUCAGUUGUGAAAGUUUGCGGCUCAACCGUAAAAUUGCAGUUGAUACUGUCAGUCUUGAGUACAGUAGAGGUGGGCGGAAUUCGUGGUGUAGCGGUGAAAUGCUUAGAUAUCACGAAGAACUCCGAUUGCGAAGGCAGCUCACUGGACUGCAACUGACACUGAUGCUCGAAAGUGUGGGUAUCAAACAGGAUUAGAUACCCUGGUAGUCCACACAGUAAACGAUGAAUACUCGCUGUUUGCGAUAUACAGUAAGCGGCCAAGCGAAAGCAUUAAGUAUUCCACCUGGGGAGUACGCCGGCAACGGUGAAACUCAAAGGAAUUGACGGGGGCCCGCACAAGCGGAGGAACAUGUGGUUUAAUUCGAUGAUACGCGAGGAACCUUACCCGGGCUUAAAUUGCAGUGGAAUGAUGUGGAAACAUGUCAGUGAGCAAUCACCGCUGUGAAGGUGCUACAUGGUUGUCGUCAGCUCGUGCCGUGAGGUGUCGGCUUAAGUGCCAUAACGAGCGCAACCCUUAUCUUUAGUUACUAACAGGUUAUGCUGAGGACUCUAGAGAGACUGCCGUCGUAAGAUGUGAGGAAGGUGGGGAUGACGUCAAAUCAGCACGGCCCUUACGUCCGGGGCUACACACGUGUUACAAUGGGGGGUACAGAAGGCAGCUAGCGGGUGACCGUAUGCUAAUCCCAAAAGCCUCUCUCAGUUCGGAUCGAAGUCUGCAACCCGACUUCGUGAAGCUGGAUUCGCUAGUAAUCGCGCAUCAGCCACGGCGCGGUGAAUACGUUCCCGGGCCUUGUACACACCGCCCGUCAAGCCAUGGGAGCCGGGGGUACCUGAAGUACGUAACCGCAAGGAUCGUCCUAGGGUAAAACUGGUGACUGGGGCU
rnacentral:rRNA from 1 species